CUGCUGGGGGAAGCAGCCAAACCCCAAAGCCGAAGUCCAGCUCGCCGGUGCCCCAAGCCCACCCUCCCGCCCCUACUUUCUCCGCGCUGAUGGGCUGCUGCGUCGGCCACGGGCCCACCUGGAAGCGCCGCCGCCCUCGCGACUUUUCCUGAGGGCGAAGCGGAGCGGGAGCAGUUGGCGAAGUGGCCCGAGACUUCAGAGAGAGGCGCUGCCUCGCUUCGCCUCAGGAGAGGAAGCGCGCGCGGCGGCAGCAGCAGCGCCUUCAGGCAGGCGGCACACUUGGGCACAGAGGGGCGCGCGCGGGUCUGAGGUGGACGGAGAAGCAGCCACUCCGAAACGGGCUUCGCCCGCCAGCCUCGCCGACUCUCUUCCCUCAGCCGCCUUGACUUGGCCGGUAGACCCAGCUGGGGCUGCUCCUCAGGCAGGACGGGCGCCCUUUCGCCCCAAGCGCGAGCGGCAAGAGCGGGGUCCGGGCGGCGGGAGCUGCUGCUGCUGCGAGGUUUAUGGAACCCAAGUUCUCAAGAAUAUCAAACCAUAUAUCAUCAUUUCUUAUGAAAAUAUGCAUCGGUGGCCUAUAUGCUUCCAUCUCUUACCACCACCUGGACAUUCUAGGCUGACUUGGUCAACAUUUUAAUGGCAGGUCAAGGCAAGGACCUCCACUCAUGUCGGCGCCAUUCCCACGGAAGAGCUUGGUUUCAUCUUUGCGAUCAUCAUUCAUAGUGUCACCCAGAGUAAUUAUUAGUGGACACUUGGCUGCUACAAGAAACACACACACUCUGUCAUCGUCCCAGGGAAGCCACGGAACCAAGAGGUGGGGAAAACAAUGCUGAUUUACUCUCUUUGAAGAAUAGCAGAGGGGAAAGGAAGUUAGCUCCACCGGGUGGAUUUUCAGCCUCUCGGAUUUUCAGUCCAUGCUGAAGAUUUUAAGAUUUUAUUGUUUUAUGUUCAUUGUAUUGUAAUUCCACAUUGUAUUGUAUUAUAUUGUAAUUUUUCAUUUCCAAUAUAUACAGUACAUAUUGUAUUUGUUAUUUUGUAAACUGAAUAGAGUAGGGCUGCCACAUGUCCGGAUGUUACUGGGAUUUCAAAGGCGGAAUUGAUGUCUAGGGGGGAUUUCUGAUAGGUGGCACUUUUAGGCAAUUGAUUUUUUUUUGUGUUUUUGUAAAAAGAAAAGAAAAGAAAUCUCAAUAACCUAGCAUAGAGACCAGUGUUGUUUUAAACCACAGAGCCUAGGACUUGCCGAUCAGAAGGUCGACAGUUCAAAUCCCCGCAUCAGGGUGAGCUCCUGUUGCUCAGUCCCUGCUCCUGCCAACCUAGCAGUUCGAAAGCACAUUGAAGUGCAAGUAGAUAAAUAGGUACCACUCCGGUGGGAAGGUAAAUGGCGUUUCUGUGCACUGCUCUGGUUUCGCCAGAAGCGGCUUAGUCAUGCUGGCCACAUGACCCGGAAGCUGUACGCUGGCUCCCUCGGCCAGUAAAGCGAGAUGAGCGCCACAACCCCAGAGUCGGCCACGACUGGACCUAAUGGUCAGGGGUCCCUUUACCUUUACCUUAGGUGCUGGAGCUCACCAUGAACACCUCCUCCAUUCUCUUAGAAUGGCAAUGGCCCACCUGAGAGGUGCCAGAACUGAGUUCUGGUGAGUUCCUGCUGGAAAAAAAGCCCUGACAAAGACAGCAUAUAAGCAGCAUAUAAAUGUGUGAAAUAAAUAAAUAAUGAAUACAGUGAUACCUCGGGUUAAGAACUUAAUUUGUUCCAGAGGUCCAUUCUUAACCUGAAACUGUUCUUAACCUGAAGCACCACUUUAGCUAAUGGGGUCUCCCACUGCCACCGCACCACCACUGCACGAUUUCUGUUCUUAUCCUGAAGCAAAGUUCUUAACCCAAGGUACUAUUCUGGGUUAGCGGAGUCUGUAACCUGAAGCAUCUGUAACCUGAAGCGCCUGUAACCCGAGGUACCACUGUAUAGACAGAUUUGUCGAUCCCUGUCAUCAGCCCAAUGGGUUUUGCAACUAAGUAUUACCCAGAGUGGACCCAUUAAAAUUAAUGGAUCUUCCUUAGUCAUUUUCAUUUUCUUUCUACUCUGAGUAAAAAUAGUUGACUACCACUGCUCCUGUUAGCAACUGGAUGAAAGUUACAGAAUGAAGGAUUGCGCCAUCUUCUAUUCUUUAUUGGGUUUUCUCCUCCUACCCUACCCUGUGGGUUCAAGACAUCUCCAAGAACAAAUCCCAGUAAUGAUUAUUCUUAUCAGACCAAUGGUUCACCAUAAUCAGACAUGCCUGGGAAGUUUAUGUGCAAAUGCCUUUCUUGCAUUAGGUAGUACGGUAUAUUGUCUCCAAACAGAACUGCACAUUUGGCUACCAUACAUUUAUUUAUUAUAUUAAUCCACAAUUGCCAAAUAACAUUGUUCUCUGGACUUCACAGCAUAAAAUGACAAAUUAAAAAAAAGCACUAUAUUAAAAUAAUUUGCAGCACUCAAACUGUCUUAUAAGAACUAACAGAUCUAACAUAUGUUGGGAUUCUGGUGCCAGGUUAAAACAUAUUGGUUCUCUCAGACCUUUGGAGAAAGUUAAUUGAAGCCUUCCAAUGUCCUAGGAUUAUUCUGAGUUCUUGUUUCAUUGCCUGUGAUGGCUUAAUUGGCUUUAAUUGAUUUUUAAUUGUGGCUUUAUCCUGUACAAUAUGUUGUUUUAUAUAUUGUUUAUGGAAACCACUCUGUGAUUGCUACGCGAUGAAGGACAGUCUGGAAGUCUGGUAAAUAAAUAGAUGGAAGCUGUUCAUGUAAGUGGAUAUCACAUUAAUCUGCUGUGAAAAGUGUGUUGUGUAAAGAUUUGCCUUCAGUAGUUUCAAACUGGUAGCAUAUCAGUGUCAGAGGAU
rnacentral:lncRNA from 1 species